UUUCCUACGGGAGGCAGCAGUGAGGAAUAUUGGUCAAUGGGCGGGAGCCUGAACCAGCCAAGUCGCGUGAGGGAAGACGGUCCUAUGGAUUGUAAACCUCUUUAGGCGGGGAGCAAUGCCGGGCACGCGUGCCCGGAGGGAGAGUACCCGCAGAAUAAGCAUCGGCUAACUCCGUGCCAGCAGCCGCGGUAAUACGGAGGAUGCGAGCGUUAUCCGGAUUUAUUGGGUUUAAAGGGUGCGUAGGCGGAUUUUUAAGUCAGCGGUCAAAUCGUGGGGCUCAACCCCAUCCAGCCGUUGAAACUGGG
rnacentral:rRNA from 1 species